UUUAGCUCAAUGGUUUUGGCGCCUGUCUCAUAAACACAAGGACCCAGGUUCAAUCCCUGGAA
rnacentral:tRNA from 1 species